AUUGUUGUGAGCAAAAUUAGUACUCAUGAAAUCCUGCAGAUAUGAUGACUAAGUCACUUCCUAUAACCAAGUUUGAGCAUUACUUAGCUUAGACUUAGUUGGUGUCCAUUGUUGAAGUUAAACCCUUAAGGGGUUUUAUGGAAUAGAUGGAGAACUUGUUCGUUGAGAGUUCGCGAUGAAGAACUUGUUCAUUGAGAAUUCGUGUCAAGGUGAAGAUUGUUAGAAUUAAAUGACCC
rnacentral:lncRNA from 1 species